rnacentral:rRNA from 1 species
GACGAACGCUGGCGGCGUGCCUAACACAUGCAAGUCGAGCGAUGAAACCCUUCGGGGUGGAUUAGCGGCGGACGGGUGAGUAACACGUGGGUAACCUGCCUCAAAGAGGGGAAUAGCCUUCCGAAAGGAAGAUUAAUACCGCAUAAUAUGUUUUGGUCGCAUGACUAGACAUCAAAGGAGUAAUCCGCUUUGAGAUGGACCCCGCGGCGCAUUAGCUAGUUGGUGAGGUAACGGCUCACCAAGGCGACGAUGCGUAGCCGACCUGAGAGGGUGAUCGGCCACAUUGGAACUGAGACACGGUCCAGACUCCUACGGGAGGCAG